GGCUCAGAUUGAACGCUGGCGGCAUCGCCUUACACAUGCAAGUCGAACGGCAGCGGACCUUCGGGUGCCGGCGAGUGGCGAACGGGUGAGUAAUAUAUCGGAACGUUACCUUUCAGGUGGGGGAUAACGUAGCGAAAGUUACGCUAAUACCGCAUAUUCUGUGAGCAGGAAAGCAGGGGGAUCGCAAGACCUUGCGCUGAUUGAGCGGCCGAUAUCAGAUUAGCUAGUUGGUGAGGUAAAGGCUCACCAAGGCGACGAUCUGUAGCGGGUCUGAGAGGAUGAUCCGCCACACUGGAACUGAGACACGGUCCAGACUCCUACGGGAGGCAGCAGUGGGGAAUUUUUGGGACAAUGGGCGCAAGCCUGAUCCAGCCAUGCCGCGUGAGUGAAGAAGGCCUUCGGGUUGUAAAGCUCUUUCGGCCGGGAAGAAAUCGCACAGGUUAAUACCCUGUGUGGAUGACGGUACCGGAAUAAGAAGCACCGGCUAACUACGUG
rnacentral:rRNA from 1 species